ensembl:lncRNA
GGGAGGGAGAGAGGGAGGGAGGAAAGAAGGAAGGCAUUGUAGUUCACCCUUGUGAUCACAGAACUGGGGAGCACACAGGUGCACCCCUGGAACUCAUUGGCCAGCCAGCCUAGUAAAAUCAGUAAGUUCCAGGCCAAGGUGAGAGACUGUACCUAAAAGACAAGGUGGUCAGCUUCUGAGGGAUAAUUCCUGAGAUUUUCCUCUUGCCUACACCACACACACACACACACACACACACACACACACACACACACACACACACACACACACACACACACCCCAAUCCCACAAACUUUAAAUAUUUUGUGCACAACUUUGUUUUUAGAACAUCUGCUCCAUGAUAAACCCUUUAACACAGUUUGAAAUGAAUGGGGCCAAGGUUUCAUAGUCAUAUUGUAGAUGACAGAUUUUCACAGAGGGCAGCCACAAUGAUUUGGGCAUCAAAGUAAAGAGAGGGGAAAGCCAACAGGGAGUUUGAGAAACAGAAGCCUGAGACCCAAACCCUCCCGUUGCUUGUGAAAUGCUCUCGUGUGAACCUGAACCAGACUCAGCCUGCUGAACCUUGACCUACUCAGUUCCACCCAGACUGAAUCCCAAGAGGGAAGCAAAGCAAUAUUAAGAUUGGAAUGAAAAGAGCCAUCAGCAGAGUCGUCACAGUCCUGUGCAUCAGUACAUCUCACAGUGGUUCUGAGGGAGCCCCUGGACCCCUCUGGCCCCAUGUCUUUGUCUGUGACCUGGGGAGCAGGUGAAAUGUGAGUUCAGGAGGAUGUCUCGUGAGAUGAUGAAACCAAUUCCUGGUGAGCCUGCACUCCAUGCCAGCACACUCCCUGCCUUCUUUCUCCUCCCCGCUGUUUCCUACAUGAGACGAGUAUUAUAAAGGACUUGUAAGGCAUCUGUAAGCCCCAAACACUCUACAUACAACAAUUGGAGAGUAAGUUUUUCCUUUCCCCUUUAUCCCACCUCAGGCGUACCUGCAGAAUUCACCAGCAUCCACAGGUGACACUUGUUUCUGUAUAAUUCUAAAGGAAAUCAGAAAUGAGCUGGUACGUGGUAGCUGCUGCCAUUCCAAAUCUCACAUGCGGGCUCUCGGUUGUCGGCACCACCCCCACCACCAUGCUAUUUCCUUUAGAUUGGAGAUACCUUUACCUGGAAAUUCCACUUUGCUAUUUUUUAAGUCAAACUCCCUGAACCGCUUUGAAGGUUUCCAGGAGGCUCAGAACUGUCCAGGAAAGGAUGGUGCUUUGCACUUUUCCAGCUACCAACACGGGGCUGGGAAGUGUUUUACAUUAUCUUUGCUGUCCUGGGCAAGUCACUACAUGCAAGGUACAUGUGUGUUUAUAAAACCGAUGCCACGAGCAAGAAAGGAGAGUCAUUCUGACUGCAGGAGGAGGGAUGGGAUUCAACACAAAGCUUCCGUUUAAAUUUGUCUAAGGGAACAGGGCUAAGCAGUGCCUGGCAACUGUCAGAAGUAAAUGUUUAUAAGAUGAACAGCCAUUCCCAAUCACUAACAGGGGCAGUUUGAGUUUGAGCGCAAUUGAGUGCCUGUCAUGUGAGCUGUAGGUCACAACCUAUUGUCCUCAGAUAUUACCAUGGGCCCUUGAAAGGACCUCUGGGAACCUCUGGACAGGUGACUGGAUGGGAAGGGACACACCCCAAGCGCAUCUGGGCUCGACUGGAUGGGAAUAUAAGCACAUUCAGAGGCUGUCUCUGGCAGAGGUUAGCCACCAUCUUCCUGCCAAGAGUCAGUCUCUCAUGACUCAAAAUCUCAAAUUUGCUCUAAGCAGAGGGGAAAAGUCAGUUUCCGAGCUUAGGUUCUUGGCCCAACUGUGCUUCAGAUAAACACAGUCCACGGCUAUUUCAGUUCUGGAUUUUAGGAAGCAGCUGUGAGGCUAUAUAGCAAGAGCCAAGAGUAGAGCCUUGGCCCAAAUGGCGGUACUCUGAGUGUGGCAAGAGGGAAGGCUGGAGCAUGAUCCCUUGGAGAACAGGAGGGCAGCACAAGGCUGUCCCUCUGACAGGGGACAUGCGCUUCAGUUCUAGGAACCCUCUCUGCCAAGGCCUGGUUCUCUAAAAAAUAAAAUGGAUAUUUGUGUUUUGGAGUAAAAACUACUAUCCUACAAAAAGAAUGUUCUUGAUUGGUGCCUAGUAUUCUAAGAGCAUAAUACGAGGGCCGUCAAGAUGGCUAAACACUUGCCACCACACCUGAUGAUUUAGGUUCAGUCCCUGGGAUCUGUAUGGUGUAGGAAAGAACCAAUUCCUGAAAGAUGUCCUCUGCCCUCCACAUGUGUGCUAUGUUAUACACACAAAACAAAAAAAAUAAAUGUAAAACAAGCAAACCUGCUCUUUAGAAACAUGGUACCCUGUUUUUAUCAAAACAUACACCUAUUACAGGAAGCCAGAUCCCUGUCUGGACUUCUGUCCUUCUCUUCCAAAUCAUCCUCUGUCCUUUUUGGAUCACUUUAGGAGACACUGAGUUCUGUCUGACAUGUCUAAGCUCAUCUAAAGAGACACAAAUCUACCAUAUCACUGUUGUCAACAAGAGAACAAAAGCCGUUCAAUGUCUAUAUAGCAAACUUAGACAAUUUCCCCCACUGGAGUCUUACAAAUUAAACACCAAGGUUGGAGGUGUGUCUCAGUGGUAAAUCACUUGCCCAGCAUGAAUACAACUCUAGAGUUGAUCCCCUGCACUACACACAAAUCCAGUUAAACCCUAACAUGGACAUCCCUGCAGUGUCCCUCAAACUCUGACACAGCCACAAAGCAGAGGGAAAGCCAGCAUACAAAACAAAUCCCACCUUCUUCCUGAGGAAACUGGCCUGCAUCCAGGUGUGGGCUCCAUCACUGAUUCAGUAUGUAGUAGGGCCUUCUGGGACCUAAGAGAUGGAGAAUCACAGUGACAAAGACAGUCUUCACCCUAAGAGCAUCCGUGUAUGUGGACUGUGGAGGGGAGGCUCACACCAGGAUCUUGUGUGGGAGCUUGAAAGGGAGUGCCACUAGCCACAAAAUUAGGCUUCUCAAAAUUACCAACUUCCUUCUGGAUCCUGAGAGGAAAGGCAAGUGGUGAACAAAGAAAGUUUCUCCCAAAAAAAGAAGGAACACACCCAUGCAAAGGCCCUAGGGCUGGUGCAUCCCACGAAUGGGCUAGGGUUGCUCCUCUUUCAGUUUUCCAGCACAAGGGGGAACAGCUUCAUUAGUCAUACUGCCCCUUGGUUCAGCAAGCCCCAUGCCCCUAGUCCUGCAAGGGAAACGCAUCUGUUUUCCUACCCACUUUUUUUUAAGACAAUGGAAAACUCAUUGGACACAGUGAGUGUAGGGGCUCUUUCCCCGUAGGGCCACCAGGUUUGGCCUGACUGGAAAUUGAAAAGUGUUGGUUAUUCAGUAGCCUGCAUUUGUUCUCAAAGCUUUCUCAAAUUACAAUGAGAUGAGAUGUACAACAGAAUUAUAUACACACACACACACACACACACACACACACACACACACACACACACACACUUCUCCAAACAUGAGGUGUUUAAUCUAAAACAGUAACCAAAGGCUUGAGAAGACUUAGCAAGGAAAUUAUAGGGAAAGCAAUUCAACACUCUUAAAAAUAGAGAAACCGUUGCAGUAAGGAAACAUUGCGUAAUAUGUUUGGGAAGAAGGGGUUUUGUCCUGCACAAAGUUCUCCAUGAACUGCAUCACUAUAUUACCACAAUGGCUGCCUUCUAUGCCAAAGAGGCAGUAGCCAGCUCUGCCAGGACACGUGUUCAGCCAAUGGUGUUUGGUGAGAUGAUUAUAAACUAAACACAGCCGAGGAGGUGGAGGAAAGAGCAGAAAAAGCAAAGGACCUGAACUACACUUUUACAGUCUGCAGGCGCUUGCCAACUUGACUUGCUAGGGCACAGGAAAAAGUGUAUCUUAGUAAACAAGGCUGCUGCUAUGCAGACAUGAACCUGACAUUUGCUGGCCUGCUGCAGCUUUUCUGCCUGUCUCUUCCUCUGGACUGCUGAAAAUGCAAACACAACAUUGCCAUGCUGCCAGCAUCGCAGAUGUGGGUUGCCUGGCUGGUUUUGGCAGCCAUUACUCUCCUAUAACGUUGACAAUUGUGAUAUGUAAGAUUCCCAGGAGGUACAGCUCCUAAGCGCCCAGUGCUUGAGAUCUAUGCCCACCAGCUCCAGGUUUGGUCUUGGGUCAGUGGAGUUGAUGAUCACACUCCCUUCAGUUAGUAUGCUGGUAUGUGCUCUAUGCUCUAUAAGGGAGAAUUCUCUACCAUGUGAAAAUAAUAUAUUCAUGUGUGUGCAUUGUACUUGAAUUGUGUGCACUAUUGUGUAUUGAUGCAUAUAGGCAACACCCAGACAUCUACAAAGGCUUUGAAGCAUUUGAUUCCAUCUAAAUGGACUCCAUACCCUUGGAAUGUGCUAUUUAAGUGUUUAUGAAUUUUUACACACCAUUUUUACAGGUCCAUUUGUUUAUGAUGUGACAUGGUAAAUAAUCAUGUUGGUUUUAUGUUCUUUUUGUUUCUCAAGGAAAUAAAUGUACAUAAUGCUAAGCAAAUGAAUAAAUUAUUAAAAUGUGGACUUUAUGAUUGUGCCCACUGUUAAGAGUAAAUUUAUUUUAUUUGUUUCAUAAUGUGACUGUCCCAGUGAUGAAAAUUUAUAUGGCCCUUAUACAUAUUGAUGCGUGUAUUUAAGCUUUGUUCAAUAUUGAUAAAUGUUCCCUAAUAAAAUAUUUUAA